AAUAGGUGCCCGUACCGCAAACCGACACAGGUAGUCAAGAUGAGAAUUCUAAGGUGAGCGAGCGAACUCUCGUUAAGGAACUCGGCAAAAUGACCCCGUAACUUCGGGAGAAGGGGUGCUCUUUAGGGUUAACGCCCAGAAGAGCCGCAGUGAAUAGGCCCAAGCGACUGUUUAUCAAAAACACAGGUCUCUGCUAAACCGUAAGGUGAUGUAUAGGGGCUGACGCCUGCCCGGUGCUGGAAGGUUAAGAGGAGUGGUUAGCUUCUGCGAAGCUACGAAUCGAAGCCCCAGUAAACGGCGGCCGUAACUAUAACGGUCCUAAGGUAGCGAAAUUCCUUGUCGGGUAAGUUCCGACCCGCACGAAAGGCGUAACGAUUUGGGCACUGUCUCAACGAGAGACUCGGUGAAAUCAUAGUACCUGUGAAGAUGCAGGUUACCCGCGACAGGACGGAAAGACCCCGUGGAGCUUUACUGUAGCCUGAUAUUGAAAUUCGGCACAGCUUGUACAGGAUAGGUAGGAGCCUUUGAAACGUGAGCGCUAGCUUACGUGGAGGCGCUGGUGGGAUACUACCCUAGCUGUGUUGGCUUUCUAACCCGCACCACUUAUCGUGGUGGGAGACAGUGUCAGGCGGGCAGUUUGACUGGGGCGGUCGCCUCCUAAAAGGUAACGGAGGCGCUCAAAGGUUCCCUCAGAAUGGUUGGAAAUCAUUCAUAGAGUGUAAAGGCAUAAGGGAGCUUGACUGCGAGACCUACAAGUCGAGCAGGGUCGAAAGACGGACUUAGUGAUCCGGUGGUUCCGCAUGGAAGGGCCAUCGCUCAACGGAUAAAAGCUACCCCGGGGAUAACAGGCUUAUCUCCCCCAAGAGUUCACAUCGACGGGGAGGUUUGGCACCUCGAUGUCGGCUCAUCGCAUCCUGGGGCUGUAGUCGGUCCCAAGGGUUGGGCUGUUCGCCCAUUAAAGCGGUACGCGAGCUGGGUUCAGAACGUCGUGAGACAGUUCGGUCCCUAUCCGUCGUGGGCGUAGGAAAUUUGAGAGGAGCUGUCCUUAGUACGAGAGGACCGGGAUGGACAUACCUCUGGUGUACCAGUUGUCGUGCCAACGGCAUAGCUGGGUAGCUAUGUGUGGACGGGAUAAGUGCUGAAAGCAUCUAAGCAUGAAGCCCCCCUCAAGAUGAGAUUUCCCAACUUCGGUUAUAAGAUCCCUCAAAGAUGAUGAGGUUAAUAGGUUCGAGGUGGAAGCAUGGUGACAUGUGGAGCUGACGAAUACUAA
rnacentral:rRNA from 1 species